AUGGCUGGAGCUGCUGGGAGUCGGAGGAAGAGCAGCGGCGGUCCAAAGAAGAAGAAGAAGAAGCAGCAGCCAGAGCCAUGGCCGGAAGAGAUAUCGCUCAACCAAUACGCUCUAGUGCGGACAUACCUUCUCAAGAGCAUUACCGGCAUAGGCUACCUGGCGUUUACGUGGUCGACGGUAGUCCUCCUGGGUGGCUUCGUCACCGCGCUGGGGAAGAAGGAUUUUUGGUCCCUCACAUUUAUUAGCAUGAUGCAGGCAGCCGGGAUCUUCCAUGACUGGGGAGAUGGGGUGAUGUGCUAUAGCUUUUCUAAGUGGCCUCGUAUUAUCGGGGAAAUUCUCGAUUAUCUCGCAAAGACUAUUGUCACUAUUCUACUUAAAACAAAACACAAAUGGAUAUACCUUUUGCUUGCUGCUGUUGCUUGUUGCUUGUUUUUCCCAAUUGGAUAUUUGUCGUACCUUGUUGUGGGCCUAGUUGCGUGGGUGAUCUACAAGUUUGGGGCUGUCAUCUGUGCCGGGAUCUCCUUGUGGCGCGUAAUACAACAUGAUUAUGGCAACAUGGAUGACGGGGACAACAGCAAAGCAAACCUGAUGCCAGCAUUGGACUUUUUCUAUUCUCUAAUUCUCUGCCAAGGUGCACUCUACUUUUUAUGGGCCACAUCUGACAAGGUGUUCCCAAAGAUGUGGGGUGAACCAUCAGUUAAACAGUACCUGGUUGACCUCCAGUCAAAAUGCUGGCAGGACCCUAAAUCCAUCAAGGAUAGGAGAUUGGUCAAUUAUGCGGUUGAUUUGCUGGACUCUGAAUCAUCACAAGACUACCUCUCUGGAGCAAGGAUGCUGGAUGUGCUCAUCAAGCGUGGAGUGGAUGUAAGGCCGCUUAUACUCCCCUCCAGCCAAAAGGUUGAGAAGCUGAUCGAUACACUGAGGAGGAGUAGCAGAGACAGAAAGAUUAAGGAGCUCGCCGCCAGGAUAUUGGCGCAUCUUGCCUGUGAUAGGGAUCUAACCCAGUUCCCUGGGCUAAUACCGUGCAUAUCCUCCCUACUGGGUAUCACCACCCAACUGCCAUAUUUGAACAACCAACAAGGAUCCAUUAACCAGUCACCACGUCAAACUAUAUGGGAUCAGUUGUGCCCAGAAAUUAAAAAAAGUAAAUUGGGUCCGCUAUUGAUAAAAAUUAUUAAAAAAAUAAAAUUGAAUCAGCAAGGUGCAGGGAACAACCAACAUCAGUCACCUCAAUGUAGAUUGGAUCAGCAAGGUGCAGCGGAAAGCGAAGGAGAAGGAGAUGGUUGGAAUGAGUUGAUUCUGCAAGGUCUGACAAUUCUGGAGAGGCUGGCGUCUGACCAAGACAACUGCAGGGACAUAUGCAGCAACCCCGAUCUAAUCGCCAAGAUCAUGUCACCUAUCUACUCUCACACACUAAUCCAAGAUAUCAACAUAAUGCCGGCAUGGCAAGAUGUAGUAAAUGGAGCCUUCAGAGUGGUACACCAGCUCAUCCGUGCUCCCGAGUGGACUGGUGGACGAAGGCUAGCCCAUGAAAUCUCCUGUAGCAAGCAGGCUGUGAGCAACCUGGAGAUGAUUCUUGAUCAGGGCAACUCGGCUAUCCAACAACAGAAGAUGCAAGCUAUGAAGAUCCUCACUGAUUUGGCUUUGGAUUCGUCCUCUAACCUCGCGAUGGAAACAAAAGAAAAUCUGAUCAACAAGCAGCUGCAGAUCUUCCUUACUGAAGGGACAGAGGAAGACCUUAAGGUUACGGCUGGGAAAACACUGGCAUUACUAUCCAAGGCAGGAGCUAUCUCUGUGUGUACAAUGAGUGAAUACAAUCCCAUUGUUGAGCAAGUGACUGAAAUCCUUGAUGCUAAGAACAAGAUCAUAUACAGAAUAAUAGCUGCUGAGAUCUUGGAGAAUUUGUGUACUCUACAUAUGAUGGACAAGAAUCAUGUGAAGAACACCUUGCUGUCAAAGGUGCUGGCAGAAGUUUUAACCAGUAAAAAGAAGCCACCAUCAAAAGCAUCGGAAAGGCAGGUAUCUCAAACAUUAGGAGAUAUUGUAGAAAAUCUACUUCAAGACGACGAAGAAAAUCAACGUCUGGAACAUAACGGCCAACUCAAUCCAUCCGAGCAAACUGAGACGCAAACAGCUAUGAUGGAAUUGAAGGAAGCAUUGUUAUCCCUUACUUCGGUGAUAUUUGACAGGCUGAUAAUUAGUGCCGUGGAUUUUGAUGAGGUGGCUCAAAAGGUUGCCCCAGGAGAAGGUGAAUUUGUGGCGAAGCUCAAGACUAUAGUAGAAGAUAACUGUGAGGCCACGGCUAAUAGCCUAAGAGUGGUCAAGCUUUGCGGUAUGAUUGCUGUUACAAUGAUGCGGCACAGCCAGUACAACACACACAUCAAGGAUCAGAAAUUCAUGGAGACACUGUCGGAGGCUUCGAGAAUCAUGUGUAACCUUGAAAGCUGCAUGCUCUUUGCUGGGACUGAUGGUGGUGCCAAGAAGACUGCUAGGCCCCUCCUCUCAGAUCUUGUGAAAGAGGCAAACGCGUUAGUUGCUUAA
rnacentral:rRNA from 1 species